AUGAAUCAAGAGGAUCUGGCUCGGGUUUUGGUUACCCUUUGGGCAAUAUGGUGGGCGAGGAGACGAGCUAUUCAUGAUAAUGAAUUCCAAAGUCCUUUGACUACUAUAAGUUUCAUCACAAGGUAUCUACAGGACUUAAACAUUGCUGCCGCUCGGCCUGUUAAAACUUCCGUUCCGAAAGAACAGCGCCGAAGGACGAACAAAUGGAUUCCUCCAGAAGGAAACAGUUUGAAGAUCAAUGUUGAUGGGGGACUGUCACGCAACGGCAAGUCUGGUGCAGCGGCGGCGAUUUGCAGAGAUAAGGCGGGACAAUUCUUGGGAGCCUUAGCCAUCAUCUUCGGCGGACUGACAGACCCUGCGAGCCUAGAAGCUCAUGCAUGCAACGAGGUGAUGGCACUAGCCCAAGACCUAAACCUGCGAGAUGUGGUAGUUGGCUCAGACUGCUUAGAGGUGGUAACUAGUAUCAAAAAGGGAGAAGCAUCAGUUUAUGCACCAAUUCUGAAUGAGACACACCACCGUAGUCAGGAGUUUGAGCAAGUGCAGUUUCCGUUUGAGCCCCGUGAAGCAAAUUUCGAAGCUCACAUGUUAGCUAAAGUUGCAUCUUCUCUUGCAGCUUGUAGACAUAUGUGGCUAGGGAGUGUUCCGAACAUUAUUAGUAUUCCACAUUUUUUGCAUAUUGAAUAA
rnacentral:rRNA from 1 species